CUCAACAUUUUGUAGUGGAACAGGACCUUUUUUUGGCUGCUCUUUCUACAAUAUGCCAGCACCGACCAGGGCUCAAGCUACGGAUUGAUUAAGAAAGGACUUUUCCCUUAUAGACCUUGCACACAAAUUGUGUUGGUACGUCAGCCUUCACCUAUGGGAUGUAGUUGCACUUAGGAUAUUGUGUUCACGAACUGCUUUAAUGUUGGAAAAGGAGCGUCACCUAAAUGAUUUGGGAUCCAGAGUGAAGACCUUUAUGAUUUUUGAAAGAAAAACACUGCAGCCGCUGAAUGUCAAGGCUGUGAUUCAAGAGGAAAAAAUCUGACACGGAUACCACUGUAAUAAGGAAGAUGUGAAGUGUGUCUCAUCGUGCCUGUGGAAGGGCUGGGAACUCACACAUUGCCUUCGCAGUGCUCCCUCCAAGAAACGGCUGGAGCAAAGAGAACUUUGCACAGGAACGAUGAAAAAACUAGCAUGCAUUAGGAGGAUGUUUUUAUAUGCUUUCAUGUUUUGGGGAAGUCGCAGAGGGCAGGACUGCGGAAGCCACCACCUCUGAGGGAGGGAGAAUUGUCAUCGGUCAGUGCUGGUGUCCAAAGCCUGGUUGAACCCAUAAAAACUGCCUACUCUAUUUCAUGGGAAACACCGCAAUUCCAAACCAAUUCCCAUUUUGAGCAAACACAUCGAAAAGCAUUUUAAGAUUUCAUUAGCAUGAAAUGAAAAUAUAAUCAAAAUUCUGAAAAGUGUGUUUUGGAAUUGCUUCUCCCAUCAUCUUCCUUCAUAUUGUGCUAGUGAUUCACUCGGAAUAUCUUAAAAGUAGUUGCUUGUUUUUAA
ensembl:lncRNA